AGUUUGCAGAGAUUUUCUUCGAACAUGGGGUGGUGAUGCGAUGACAUUCCCCACCCAGAGCCGUUGGAAGUUCACGGGCGGGCGGAUAAGGUGGGAUCAGGGCUUGGUGCUAGAUUAGUGACGUGCCAACAAGACGGUGUGAGGAGCUGCUGGCAGGAGGAGCCAAUACUGGGGAAAUUUACAAUCGAGUGCGGGAUUUCAGUUCGGGCCCGUACCUUUCAGGAGGAGCCAUCAGCCUCCCACACUGGGGGAGCAUCCUGCUGAUGUCGCAGAGGGAAAGAGGAUGCACAGUUUCUGAUUGAACAUGAUCUAUUAGACCCCCAACAUAUUAAAAUGUGACGUGAUUGCAUGGCUAUGGUCUGAAGGCAUUCUAUCAUGCUGAAACUGCUGCUUCCAGAAUUCCCACUUCUGACUUCACUGUGAGCUUUCCAUGUUAUCAAAUGACAAAGUCUCCACUGGAGCCGCCUUUGGACUAUCACACCUGAUUGACCUGGGCACAUGAACAAUUUUCAAAUUAUACGGUUGAAGAAUUAUGCUCCAUCAAAAUAACGGUUGUAAGUUUGUGCUGUGAAAUGUACCUAAGAAAAUCAAACAAUUUGAAAAACAGGAGGAAAGCAGCCUACAGUAGGACAAAAAGAGUCAAGAUGAGUGGCUGUCAUUCAGCUCCUCACCCUUUAUGUGAACAGCAGCCAAAUUCGAAACAUACGUCUGACCAUUUCCAAGCCCUGAACUAUAAUCAGAUGCUGUCUUUGACCUACUAUGCCAGUACCCUCUGGCCAAAAGCUAUCCUUCUUGACCUGACUGAGGUGUGCUGACAGCCAUAACAAGCUUCCCUCCUUUGUGUUAGCACUAAACUACAAGGCAAGACAGAAAUAAUAUGCUGAAGAGCUCGGCCUUGGGUAUCCACUGCUGCCUACUGUCUUACUGCUGUGUUGAGGCUGAACUGCUGGGUCCCAAUCCUGAACCUCAUUGUAUCCUCUGCUGCUCCUCUCUUGAUGCUGUGUUGAAGCUGAAGUACUGGCCCCCUGCACGUUGGAGAUGCUUUUGAUAGAAGUAGUGCAAAUGACGAAGUACACAUUAAUUCCUGUUCUAGUGUAAUUCAAGCAUAAACUGGUAGUUUGCCAAUUUGUUUUGAAGAAAUUAUGCAAAUUGUGUUAUAGCUACAUCAAAAAGUUCCAAGAUUUCUAGGCCAUUGGUACCAGCAAUAUAUUCACCGUUUAACAAUCUAGUAUGCUUUUAAAAUUAAACCUUUGUUUUUGUAUUUUCUGCCAAUGAUUUCUACCAUUCUGUGUUCAGAUUGCAAUAUUUAAUAUGUAGCUAAUGAGAACAUAUUGCACCAUAAAGUCAUGAUGAUGGACCAGAACCUUGAAGUACUUGUGGACAUAUUGAACUUUUAUUUAUAAUGUGUUUAAUUUAAAGAAGAUGUAUAGCCAAAAGAUGGCUGUCGAUCUAAAUUCUGUGGCUGUUUGGAAAUGACGUCUGGAAUGUCACACCUGAAGGAGUCAAGAGAACUUCAAACCAUAAACUUCAAAGGGCGAGAGGAAAGUCAAACUGGACUGUGAUCUUCUGUAGGUACAUGGAUAGCUAUGCUGAAUACGUCUGCUCUCAGUAGAAAGCCAACUUCCACUGAUUAUGUCCCAAAUUGCAGACAUGUUAUAUUCUCCCUCUUUAAAAGUACUCAAGUAUGGGAGUUAGAAACCAAUUCUGCUUCUGGUCUGUGUGUGCUAAUAGGCAAGGGUGGGUUCUUUACAGUUAAAAUGAAAAUAAGUCUUUCUCUCUCUCUUUAUCUUUUUCUCACUCUCUCUCCCUGUUUCUCACUUUUUCUCUAUCUUUUUAUUACAAAACUGAAAGCAAGUAAAAUUGCUGUUAGAAGGAAACAUGACAAAGGCCUUUCAGGUCAUCUGCAAAGCCAAGCAGCUUGAAAUCAACCACUUGCCCACCAACUUCAGAGACAUUGGUAUCACCUAACAUGACAGCUGCAAUAUCCCAUUGUCUACACUUUAUGGAACUCAGAGAUUUAUCCGUAUACCUUUUUUAACAUUUCUCAUUUUUUAGGCUCACCCCUUAUUUCUAACGUCUGUGUAUAUUAACUCAAAAAAGAAACUCAAAAAAAGAGUAAAAAUAAUUGUAUUUUCUCACAAUCUUCACUGCUAUCUCACAUUCUCUGAAUGGUGUUGGGCGAUAAGGAGAUAAUGUUUGCCGCCAAACUAUUAACAGUUAUGGAUGACAUUCUCCUAAUAGUUGCUGUUAAAUUCAUAUUUCUUCCUCACAUUCUCAAAACUUAGUUCUGUAUUAACAGGGGUAUAUGAAAUGGAGAGACAAUAGAAGCAUAACAUUUUUCGUUAAAAUGCAGUUGAAUAUGAUUAUUUUUUUCUUGUGUAGUAAAUGAUAUUGCAGAUCUAACAGUAUAUGGCAUAAUGCUUAUCUGCAAUAUUUUAAAUAUAACAUGCCUGAAAUAUAUAAAGAAGGAAGCACUAAGCAAUACAAGUUAAAGCUAAACAUUUUGUGCUUGUCUCCAUACAUCACUGACAAUGUACAACAGGGAAGGUGCAGAUGCCCCAUUCUACGGAAUUAUACUUUCUCAGAAGAUGAAAAUAGUCACCAAAAAGAAAAAAUUCUAGCAAGAUAUUCUUGCUUAAAAAUUGAACUUAGCAGACAAUAUUAGUUCCAAUUGCUAAUUAACAAAAAUUUAAACAUACCUGGUGUUUUAAACCUGAAAUCAAAAGUUUAGCAUGUAAUAACACUGAAAUGGUGUGUUCGAAAAUUAAAUAUGUCCCAAGCCAAGAAAUUCAAGUGCAUCUACAAAAUUGGCAACUACCUGACGAUGUGGAAAAUUGGCCAGGCAUGCCCUACCCUCAACAAAUAGGAUAAAUGAAACCUGGCUAAUUACCAUUUCUUUGGACUUCUCUCAGUCAUCAGAAAAUUAAUGGAAGGACUAUCGAUAGUAUUCUCAGCAACUUGCUCAGUGAUGCUCAGUCUGGGUUCCAUCAAGGUUACUUAGCUUCUAACCUUGCAUUAAACAUGGAUGAAAGACUUGAACUCCAUUGAUAAGGUGACAGUGACUAACCUUGACAUUAAGGCAGCACUUGACAAAGUAUAGCAUCAAGGAGCUUUGCGAAAGCAGAAACAAAGGAAUCAUGGGGGAGAUCAUGGUCCAUCAUUCAGAGCACAAAAGAAGAAGGUUGUUGUUCUUGGAGGUCAAUCAUCACUCCAAAUGUUCCUCAGGGAAUUGAGGCCUGACCAUCUUCAGCCAUUUCAUCAGCGACCUUCCUUCCAUCAUAAGAUCAAAUAUAAGAAUGUUCACUCAUAAUUGUGCAGUGCUUGGCACCGAUGAGAGAAUCUAACCAUCAUACCUUGAUGUUUAAUGACAUUGCCAUCAUUGAAUCCACAACCAUCAACUUCCUGGAGAUUUCCAAGGUCAACAAAUGCAUCAGAGCAGCACUAUCUGCAAGUUCCCCUCCAAGCUACGCCCUACCAGCUGUGGAAGUAUAUCACCAUUUCUUCACUGUCAUUGUCAAAAUCCUGAAACUCACUUCCUAGCAGAACUGCAGGUGUACGUACACCUCAUGAACUGCAGCAGUUCAAGAAAGCAAGCUUACCACCAGCUUCUCAAAUAUAAUUAUGGAUAGGUAACAAGUACUGGCCUAACCAGCAUUUCCUGUAUCUUCUGAAUGAAUAGUUAAAAAAUGAAUAGUGUUAUAGUGAAAUCGUACCACAGUCACCUUGGUGAAAGAUAUAUCAAGUAUUUUUCCCACUACCAUACUUCCUUUUCUUUGUUGGGUUCUAAAAGGCCAUACCUGGUCUAGUGUGGUAGUUUAUUACAAAUCUUCAUUGGACCACACUAAAUUUGACAAAGACUCAUUAGUAAUUCCAAAAACCAUUUUGUUGCUUAUGAAUUCUGACUUCAAAGAUCCAUAAUUAUAUUUUUUCUACUAACGUAUAAAGUUCAUUAAUGAAAUUAUCUAUGAAUUCCCCUAGAUACUGAAUUCUUCUGUCAAAUCUUAUCUUUCAAGAAUAUUGUUUGUUUUAAGGUUAAAAUGAUUGCAAAAGCUUUCAAAAGUUCAUCAAAAGUAUCUGUUUCUUUUUAUAAGCCUUGGUGAGUUAUAAUGUACGAAAAGCAAUAUAGUAGUCCCCAUUGAAUAUAAACAUGUAUUUACUUGAUUUGUUUUUAAUUUAGUUUGGAAGCAAUUCUGUAUCAUAAGAACUGGUCUCUGCAAGGUGUCCAACUCCAUGAUCUAUUUGGACCAUGUCUGAAAUUAAAUCUUCCUGGAAAAUUAUUUCUGUUGCCAUGUUUUACUAAUGUUAUUUAUUUUAUUAAAUUUCUCAUUUUUACUUCUGCAGUAACUUAAUGUUGCUUCACGCUACAUUCUUUAAAGGAUUUCAUUA